UUGUCCAUGCUUACCUUCCACUUGUCCUUUCCAUGAGAACACUUGUCACCUGCAUACAAAAAAGGGGUGAUUAACUAUUAAUCAAAGAACAAAAAGGGGAGGGUCUCGGAAUUGAAGGACAGAGAGAGAAAGGGUGUGAACUGAGCAGAGAGAAGGAGAGUUCGUGCGUGUGUGCGAGCAGCGAGGGAAAGAGAAGGAAGGGCCACCUCUCGCCGUGUCCGUGCAGCCGCCAUCGACGCCACAGAUUCCCGUCACCGACCGGCCAAGCCGCGACCCCUGAACCUCCAUUUUCGGACAGCUACCGAGUGAGAGAGUUUAAGGCAAGCAAUUGUUCUUCAAUCUAUGUUGUUGCAAGCUGUUUUGCCUAGAAAAGAAGUGAAAUAGGUGAGGAGGAUGGAAUACUUGAGCUGCAUGUGGAGUCUUUGAUAUGUAGGAGGGUGUUAGAUCAAGAAAACUGGUUGUGGAUGAGGUGCAUGUGCUGGAUUUCGAAUUUCAUGAAGUGUGAGUGCUGGAUUUUUGGAACUUGCAAGUGAAACCAAAUGAAUUUGAGAUUCUGACCAUGAGGAAUCUUAGUGAUAAUCAUGCUGUGGUAAGGUGUAUUGUGUGUAUGGACAAAGAGUAUAAUGACGGGAGGUCGAAAUCUAAUAUAUAGGAGGAGUUUUGUGAACCUGUGAACUGUUUUGGUGAAAAUCAGUGUGACCUCAGGCGACAUUUUAAAUUUUCUGUAAUUAUCUAACCACAUUUUGAUUUCAAACCCUUCAUAAAAGUUUUAGAGAAUAUCUUCAUGAAUAACAUAUCCAAAAUUCAGAGAAAACGAACAAAGUAUGACCCUCGAAAUAAUUUUCCUACAAAAAUAUGAAAUCUGGAAUUUUACAGAAUGUUGGGUAGGAAGAAAAUCGAAGUUUUACUCUCAGUGCCUAUGGAAUCUGACUUAGUGUUCUGCUUGAGCUUUGUUUCUCUAGGUCUUAUCGAUAAAGUUUCAAAAUUUCGUAAUUUUCUGAGCCCUUUUAGUAAUUAAUUCGGAAUUGUUGCUAAAACUGUGCAAUUGUAGAAAUUAAGUUACCGUUUCGAGAUUUCUAUAGAAUUGUCCUAUAUGAAGUAUAGUUCUCGAAUUGCCAUGUGACUUAGUGAUGCUGAUGGUGGGAGGUUUGUGACUUGAUAAUGCUGAUGGUGGGAUAUUGUGAUUGAUAAAAAGUUUGUGAGAUAUCUUGUUUGACAUAUGAGGAUGCAUUUGUGAAUUAAAAUGCAAUUUGUUUGAUAAAAGGGUUCAUGAGAUAUCUUGUUUGACAUAUGAUGAUGCAUUCGUGAAAUUAAAAUGCGAUUUGUUACCCAUUGAACCCUCGGAUUAAUGAUGCCCUGGGAGUCGGGAUGCCCAAAGGAUCGAGUGAGUCGAUGCCUUGUGGAUGCCCGGUGGCCUUAAAUAGCUGAAUGCCGGAGGUUAUUCCUCGGGAGUUUCGAGAUGCCCGGUGGUAUGCUAGUUGGUACGUAAUUCCGGAUGGCCAGGGUAACCGUUUUCAUGGGAGGCCCUCGAGGUUCCUCGUGAUGUCAGGUGGGGUACGAGAUGCCUGGAGGCGUGAUUUGCUCCAGAUGCCUGGUGGCCUUAAAUGGCUGAAUGCCGGAGGCUUUCGCGAUGCCUGGAAGGAUGCGAAUGCCGGAGGGACGCAAACAUUGGUCCUCCGGGGAUGAAACCUUUUGAAAAAUAAAAUGAAUGAUUUGACUAUAAAUGUGUGGGGUCUGAAUAUGUUGUCAUCACAUUGAAGGGUUUCAUGAUUGUUAUCUGAUUAUGUGGCAUAUGAUUCUUAUAGAAUUUGCAAAUGCUUUAGUAUUGAAGAAUUCCAUGAUAUUGAUAUCUAUUUAUCCCUUGUCUCCCUGCCUUGUCUAUCUUGAAUGAAAUUAGAUGCUAAUUGUUAUGCUCAAUAUAGCUUGUUGAAUCUUGUGAUGCUGAGUGGUUGUACUCACCCCGUUUGGGGACUAACAUUUCAGACUAGACAAGAUACCUCUGCCGCCGCCACCACCAGCAGAUGGACCGAGUGGUUGGAUAUGGCUGUGAGGAGGAGGACAUCAAAUGAAGGAACUUUUGGAUGCCGACAUUGAUCGAGGGACUUUAAGUAUAUGAUUGUUGGAAGAGAUGUCGGUCAUCUUUUGAAAUAUAGCUGAGUAUAGAAAACCUUGGCAUUUUGAUGUACUGACGAAUGAUGUCCAUCAAGUUAUGUAAAUAAAAGUGUAUGGCU
rnacentral:lncRNA from 1 species